UAAGGAAUAUUGGUCAAUGGACGCAAGUCUGAACCAGCCAUGCCGCGUGGAGGAUUAAGGCCCUCUGGGUUGUAAACUCCUUUUAUCUGGGAAGAAAUGUACUUUUUCUUGAGUACUUGACGGUACCAGAGGAAUAAGCACCGGCUAACUCCGUGCCAGCAGCCGCGGUAAUACGGAGGGUGCAAGCGUUAUCCGGAUUCACUGGGUUUAAAGGGUGCGUAGGUGGGCAGGUAAGUCAGUGGUGAAAUCUCCGGGCUUAACCCGGAAACUGCCGUUGAUACUAUUUGUCUUGAAUAUUGUGGAGGUGAGCGGAAUAUGUCAUGUAGCGGUGAAAUGCUUAGAUAUGACAUAGAACACCAAUUGCGAAGGCAGCUUACUACACAAUCAUUGACGCUGAGGCACGAAAGCGUGGGGAUCAAACA
rnacentral:rRNA from 1 species